rnacentral:rRNA from 1 species
UUGGAGGGCAAGUCUGGUGCCAGCAGCCGCGGUAAUUCCAGCUCCAAUAGCGUAUAUUAAAGUUGUUGCAGUUAAAAAGCUCGUAGUUGAAUUUCGGGAUUAGUACGUCGGUCGUGCCUUAGGUACGUACUGGUGUUACUGGUUCCUACCUUCUGACGAACCAUCAUGUCAUUAAUUUGGUGUGGUGGGGAAUCAGGACUGUUACUUUGAAAAAAUUAGAGUGUUUAAAGCAGGCUCGCGCUUGAAUACAUUAGCAUGGAAUAAUGAAAUAGGACG